CUGUAACUAGUUACUGGAACAAGAACUCAAAGUUUUGUAUCAAGAACGAGAAAGAAGGUUAACGCAAAUCCCAGAGUGGUGAAGCUUGUUGGAACUCAUUGCUAGUCGAAGCUCUAUGAUUACAAAGGUAACUUCGAAUUAUAGUUGUUUUAAGUCGUGUUUAGAUGUACACAGAUGAAUACAUAUUGCUUUCUAUCACGACUCUUGUGUUCUACAUAUUUUCAUAUGUUUUGUUUAUUCCAGGUGUAUGUAUAUAUUCAGAGAUGCUGCAAUAUUACUUUAUUAUGGUGGAAAACAUUGAUCAAAUCCGGCGUCACGACUUUGAGGUUACAGGGGUAAAAGGAACCAAAACUGUUACUUUACAACUUGGCUCCCUUCAAUUAGCAAAUAUUUCAUACUCGUCCCCUUUAUUUGCAGGUGUAUCUACGUAACAUAGGGAAUGGCUCCAGGUUCAAGGUUUUCUCAUUCGCUAGACCUUGAUUGAGG
rnacentral:lncRNA from 1 species